AUUGAACGCUGGCGGCAUGCUUUACACAUGCAAGUCGAACGGCAGCGCGUGCUUCGGCCUGGCGGCGAGUAGCGAACGGGUGAGUAAUCCAUCGGAACGUGCACAGGAGUGGGGGAUAGCUCGGCGAAAGCCGGAUUCAUACCGCAUACGACCUGAGGGUGAAAGAGGUGGAACUUCGGACCUCGCGCUUUUGGAGCGACCUAUGGCAGAUUAGCUUGUUGGUGGGGUAAAGGCCUACCAAUGCGACGAUGUGUAACUGCUCAGAGAGGAAGACCAGCCAAGCUGGCACUGAGACACGGCCCAGAAUACUGCGGGUGGGAGAAGGGGGGAAUUCUGGCGGAUGGGCGAAGGGCGGAUCCAGGAAUGCCGGGUGAGUGAUGAAGGCCGUCGGGUUGUAAAACACUGUAGGCGGGAACGAAAAGAAAUGUGCCAAUAUCACGAGAAGAUGACGGUACCCGAAGAAUAAGCACCGGCUAAUUACGUG
rnacentral:rRNA from 1 species